rnacentral:rRNA from 1 species
AGUGAACGCUGGCGGUAGGCCUAACACAUGCAAGUCGAACGGCAGCACAGUAAGAGCUUGCUCUUACGGGUGGCGAGUGGCGGACGAGUGAGGAAUACAUCGGAAUCUACUUUUUCGUGGGGGAUAACGUAGGGAAACUUACGCUAAUACCGCAUACGACCUACGGGUGAAAGCAGGGGAUCUUCGGACCUUGCGCGAUUGAUUGAGCCGAUGUCGGAUUAGCUAGUUGGCGGGGUAAAGGCCCACCAAGGCGACGAUCCGUAGCUGGUCUGAGAGGAUGAUCAGCCACACUGGAACUGAGACACGGUCCAGACUCCUACGGGAGGCAGCAGUGGGGAAUAUUGGACAAAGGGCGCAAGCCUGAUCCAGCCAUACCGCGUGGGUGAAGAAGGCCUUCGGGUUGUAAAGCCCUUCUGUUGGGAAAGAAAAGCAGCAGGUUAAUACCCCGCUGUUCUGACGGUACCCAAAGAAUAAGCACCGGCUAACUUCGUG